rnacentral:rRNA from 1 species
GACGAACCGUGCGAACGUUGUUCGGAAUCACUGGGCUUAAAGGGUGCGUAGGCGGGUCUUUAAGUCAGGGGUGAAAUCCUGGAGCUCAACUCCAGAACUGCCUUUGAUACUGAGGAUCUUGAGUUCGGGAGAGGUGAGUGGAACUGCGAGUGUAGAGGUGAAGUUCGUAGAUAUUCGCAAGAACACCAGUGGCGAAGGCGGCUCACUGGCCCGAUACUGACGCUGAGGCACGAAAGCGUGGGGAGCAAACAGG